rnacentral:rRNA from 1 species
UGGGGAAUAUUGCACAAUGGGCGCAAGCCUGAUGCAGCCAUGCCGCGUGUGUGAAGAAGGCCUUCGGGUUGUAAAGCACUUUCAGCGAGGAGGAAGGUGGUGAGCUUAAUACGCUCAUCAAUUGACGUUACUCGCAGAAGAAGCACCGGCUAACUCCGUGCCAGCAGCCGCGGUAAUACGGAGGGUGCAAGCGUUAAUCGGAAUUACUGGGCGUAAAGCGCACGCAGGCGGUUUGUUAAGUCAGAUGUGAAAUCCCCGGGCUCAACCUGGGAACUGCAUUUGAAAACUGGCAAGCUAGAGUCUCGUAGAGGGGGGUAGAAUUCCAGGUGUAGCGGUGAAAUGCGUAGAGAUCUGGAGGAAUACCGGUGGCGAAGGCGGCCCCCCUGGACGAAGACUGACGCUCAGGUGCGAAAAGCGUGGGGAGCAAAACAGGAUUAGAUACCCUGGUAGUCCACGCUGUAAAACGAUGUCGAUUUUGGAGGUUGUGCCCCUUGAGGCGUGGCUUCCGGAGCUAACGCGUUAAAUCGACCGCCUGGGGAGUACGGCCNCAAGGUUAAAACUUAAAGGAAUUGCGGGUCUAGCUGUUCCU